GGGGAUGAGGAAGUUGACAUUGGGGACGAGAUGCCUAUGAGUACCUUUCCCCCUGUGGAGAUUGAAAAAGACAAAGAGGCAGCUGGAGGCCAUGCCAGCAGUAGUUCAAGUAGCUCCAGUAGUUCAAGCAGUGAUUCCUCAUCAUCGAGUGGUAUUAACCCCGUUUGUAGCUGUUAUCUGUUAUAACUAUCGGCUACGGAGUAAAAAUAACGAUAUAUUUUGAUUACUAUUUGCAGAUUCGGAUUCAGGUAGUUCCUCGGGGAGUGAUUCUGAAGCAGACAAUGGGCACUUGUAGCAGCCAUACAGGGCUUUUGUUACUAAUGCUCCAACAUGACCAAUGUGGGUGAGCUGAUGAAGGUGUUUGCUUGAUUGGGCAUGCCUUGAGCGUGCUGUUUUGAAAAAUUGGAGAGGUAUGUUCUGUUUAAUUUCAUGUCUGUAUAUAUUCUUUCAAUACUAAGGCUUAAGCCUCUGCUGGUCUAAAUCGGUGGUUGCCUUUCGGUUGCAGGUGCUGUGAACAUUGUUUUGUUGGUGCAGUUUGGGAGUAGCUGUUUGAUUGGGUGCUAAGUCCCUUUUCUCGAUGAUUUGUAUUGUGCGAACAGUUGUAAAAAUGAUUCUAGGAAAUUUUUAGGCCAAAAAAGGUAGUGAAAUGCCGUG
rnacentral:lncRNA from 1 species